CUUUUCGUAUUUCUGUCAUUGAAAUCUUAAAAUAUAUAAGCAGAUAUAAGCUAUAUCCCUAGGCCACACCAAAAUGGCGUUUCUUCUUAGCUAUACGCCACGAACCACGAAGGGACGGUUCAGUGUACAGUGUUGUUAAAUAAUUUAUAUUAUUGUGGAAUCGUCAGUAUAUAUAUAUAUAUAUACUUCGUCAUAUUCAUUUGAAUUUAUUGGAAAUCAUAAUUGCGUUAUAAAAAAUGUCUGACAAAGGUUCAAAAUGUAAUCGACAAAGACGUACAAUAAGAAAGCCUAAAAAGUAUUGUACUACAGAUUCUGAUAAGCCAACGAAUAAGGAAAAGGCUAAAAAUAAAAUAUUAGAAGAAAUGACAACAGUAUUCAGAAAUUCUAAUUCUGAAGAAUCAGAUGAGGCAUCAAGUCAAUCAUCUGAUAAUGAAUCUAAUUUUUCUACUGACAGUGAGAACGAUGUUGAAAUGAAGAAAAGAUAUGAAAGAAAUGAACAAUUAACUCGGAAAAAAGAAGGAAAUCAAGACAAAUUAAUAAGACCAACUUCCAAAAAAGUAGAAAAUCAAGUUAAACCAGUCGGGCUUGACAAAAAAAAGGAAACAAAAAAACAACAUCGGAACAGCUACUUGAACAGCAUAGAAAUAAUAAUUUGAACUCACCUGGUUGUUCAACACAAACAUUACAAAAUAAUUAUGAUCAAAGAGAUGAUGUGAUAUGUUCCUCAAAUAAUCAUUCUAUUUACGAUUUCAACUCAGGGAUAAUUGCCGAAACAAGUACUGUUCAAAACAAUUCCCCACAAAUUAAAAUGUGGAAUAAAUCUACUCCAGCUGUUACUUCAAAUUAUAGCUAUUAUGACAGUUGGAACACUAAUGAUACUGCUUCAUCCACAUAUACACAAGGAUUACAUACCUCAGAACCCGCACCGGAUAAUUUUACACAUGGACAUAUUCCGCAAUUCUACAAUUCUCACAAUCAUAAUUAUGGUCAUAUAAGUUAUGAAAAUCCUGAAAAUGUCAAUUUAAAUAACUUAAAGACAUUGCAAGACUUGAGCGCAUCGCAAGAAAUAUUCUUCCAAAAAUUUCAGGAGAAAAUGCAUACGUUUUGCGAAACUCAGGAACAAAAUAUUUCGAACAAAAUUAACAAUAUGCAAAACUAUUUUGAUAAAAAAAUAGAUGAACUGAAAACCUACUUCAAUACAAAAUUAGAUAAUUUACAAGUAAACAAAAACGCAAAUAAUAACGAUGGAGCUUACCCAGUAUAUUCGCUUCCAGAAGGUUUUCCAUUAAAAAUAUGCAAGAAUUUGAAGAGUUCGAGGAAAAUAAGGAAAAGCAGGGAGAACUAAGAAAUUAUUUUAUUUGGUGGGGAAAUCCUAAUGCAAAAGUUGCUUUGAGACAGUACCUUAGAUAUUCUAUCUCAGAUGAACUUGCAUGCCAAUUUAAGUGGGCUAAAAAAAAUAAUAAGGAAAGUAAUGAUGAAGAACCGGAAAAUGCGGAAAAUGAACCUGCAUCACACAAGACAUUAUAUGACACACGGCUGAGUAAAAUGAUGUUCCAAGUAAUUAAUAAGUUUGAAAAAACUUCAAUAGAAAGUUUUAAUCAACUUAUGCAGGCUGCAUUAAGAGUUGCUAAGCAAAGACAUCGAGAUCGAGUUCGAAGAGAAAACCGAGAACGUAAUGGCCGACGAAAUCAUUUACAAGAUAUGAAUAAUUUAUACAGUAAUUAAAAUGAUCGAAGAUUAAUGAAGAUUGACAAAAACAAUUUAAAUUUUUACUUAUAGGUAUAAAGAUGAAAAUAUCGAUAUAUAGAUAUAAAGAUUUCAUGAUAUAAAUUCCUGCAUAUUAUAAGAGCUUUACUUUUGUUUAAAAUAUUUAGUGUUUCGAAUAGAAAACGUUUUCUCAUUCCAGUAAGUUGAUGUUUUAGGGCCCGGGCAGAGUGUAUAGUUAGAAAACAGUUAGAAAAAUAUUUUUUGUUCUCAAUACCUUUUUUGUUUUGAAUGCCUUUAAAUUACCAAAAGUUAUGUUUAAUAAUUAUAAUAAUAUAUAUACACUACAUACAUAUAUAUAUAU